rnacentral:rRNA from 1 species
ANCGGNAUGAGUACACUUUAAAUCCUUUAACGAGUAUCCAUUGGAGGGCAAGUCUGGUGCCAGCAGCCGCGGUAAUUCCAGCUCCAAUAGCGUAUAUUAAAGUUGUUGCGGUUAAAAAGCUCGUAGUUGGACUUGUGUCCCACGCUGUCGGUUCACCGCCCGUCGGUGUUUAACUGGCAUGGUUCGUGGGACGUCCUGCCGGUGGUGGCGAGCCGAAGGUACGCGCCCGCUUCGGCGUCAGCCGUGAGCGCGGUUGCGGUCCGGAGGCGGACCCCGAUGAAAUCCUACCGCGGUGCUCUUCACCGAGUGUCGAGGUGGGCCGGCACGUUUACUUUGAACAAAUUAGAGUGCUUAAAGCAGGCCUGUCGCGCCUGAAUACUGUGUGCAUGGAAUAAUGGAAUAGGACCUCGGUUCUAUUUUGUUGGUUUUCGGAACCCGAGGUAAUGAUUAAUAGGGACAGUCGGGGGCAUUCGUAUUGCGACGUUAGAGGUGAAAUUCUUGGAUCGUCGCAAGACGGACCGAAGCGAAAGCAUUUGCCAAGUAUGUUUUCCUUAAUCAAGAACGAAAGUUAGAGGUUCGAAGGCGAUCAGAUACCGCCCUAGUUCUAACCAUAAACGAUGCCAGCUAACGAUCCGCCGCAGUUCCUCCGAUGACUCGGCGGGCAGCUCACGGGAAACCAAAGCUUUUGGGUUCCGGGGGAAGUAUGGUUGCAAAGCUGAAACUUAAAGGAAUUGACGGAAGGGCACCACCAGGAGUGGAGCCUGCGGCUUAAUUUGACUCAACACGGGAAACCUCACCAGGCCCGGACACUGGA